rnacentral:rRNA from 1 species
GACGAACGCUGGCGGCGUGCCUAAUACAUGCAAGUCGAACGCAGUGGGGACGGGUGAGUUACACGUGGGUAACCUCCCAUCAGAGGGGAUAACACUUGGAAACAGGUGCUAAACCGAUUCCGAUGGAUGGACCUGCGGUGCAUUAGCUAGAUGGUGAGGUAACGGUCCACCAAGGUCCCGAUGCAUAGCCGAGCUGAGAGGUUGAUCGGCCACACUGGGACGGAGACACGGCCCAGACUCCUACGGGAGGCAGCAGUGGGGAAUCUUCGGCAAUGGGCGAAAGUCUGGCCGAGCAACGCCGCGUGAGUGAAGAGGGUUUUCGGAUCGUAAGGCUCUUUUGUUAGAGAAGCGGUAUCUAGCCAAAAAGCCACGGCUAACUACGUGCCAGCAGCCGCGGUAAUAC